rnacentral:rRNA from 1 species
AACGAACGCUGGCGGCAGGCUUAACACAUGCAAGUCGAACGCAUCGCAAGAUGAGUGGCAGACGGGUGAGUAACGCGUGGGAAUCUACCUAGUUCUACGGAACAACAGUUGGAAACGACUGCUAAUACCGUAUAUGCCCUAUGGGGGAAAGAUUUAUCGGAAUUAGAUGAGCCCGCGUAAGAUUAGCUAGUUGGUGGGGUAAUGGCCUACCAAGGCGACGAUCUUUAGCUGGUCUGAGAGGAUGAUCAGCCACACUGGGACUGAGACACGGCCCAGACUCCUACGGGAGGCAGCAGUGGGGAAUAUUGGACAAUGGGCGCAAGCCUGAUCCAGCCAUGCCGCGUGAGUGAUGAAGGCCUUAGGGUUGUAAAGCUCUUUCACCGAUGAAGAUAAUGACGGUAGUCGGAGAAGAAGCCCCGGCUAACUUCGUGCCAGCCGCCGCGGUAAAAC